rnacentral:lncRNA from 1 species
GAGAGACGCUGCCACCGCCGCCUCAGAGCAGUGCCGCCUACACCUGAGCCGCCCAGAAUCCGAACUUCCCACACCCAGCCUCUGAUUGGAGGGCCUUUGAGCAACCCCUGCGGGAAAGGGGCCCGCCCCUUCUCUCCCACGAGGCUUGCGAUUGGUUCUCUCCCUGUGCUAUUCGAAUUGAUUGAAAGAGUGAGAGAAUCCACAGCCGUUUCGCUCAUCUUUGUGGACCCUGUUGCUGACUAUCAAGUGGGGCCAUUCUCUCCCUUUGGUUAGUCUUUCCUUCCCCAGCAGAUUCUCCAUUUCGUCUCUCUUGGACUUCUUUGCCUGGUAGCUGGGUUCCUUCUUGGCAUAUGUGGAAGGCCUCAUAAGACCUCGAUUUGGAAGUUCCAUAUUGGCAGAGGAGAAAAACAAGAGCUGGAGCAAUAACAUGGUGUGAAUUUUAUUGCCUCAGGAGAGGCACAGGGCAGGGAGGAGGGCAGAGUUAGCCAGUCAAAUGUUUGCCUGUUUUACUUGUCCACACACCUGAGCUCAGCGAGGAGCACACGACGAUCAGGAGGACACAGGGGCCCUGGAGGAGCAGGGGCAGGAGAGGCUCCCCCGUCGGAGGUCCGCGAGGGCCAGAGCGGUGCUGAGAAGCUACGUGGGAAACAAACACUGCUCCAUGGUGGAGCCCUAGGAGGGGCAAACCUCAGAAAAGUUGCCACCAUUAUGUGCAAUCUGAUGUCUUGGUUUCCCAUUUUUGGCCUGAAGAACUUCAAGUAAUUGUUUUCUCGUGGGGAGACUGAAUGGUAGUCCUCAAAAUUUCUGGCACACUGACGAGACUGUAAUCGUUUUCUACAGAUAUAGUUCUGUGAUUUUGAAAAGUGUCUGUGUUGGAAUUUC